rnacentral:rRNA from 1 species
AAUUAUUUCGAGCUUAACAUCUAGCCCCCAACCACAUAUAACCAUCUCAUAUCUAUAUUCAAAAAUUAAAACAUUUUAUUAAUUUAGUAAAGGCGAUUAAAAAAUUCUAAGGAGCUAUACACAAAGUACCGCAAGGGAAAGAUGAAAUAAUAAUGAAACUACUUUAAGCAUACAAAAGUAGAGCUUACCUCUCGUACCUUUUGCAUCAUGGUUUAACUAGUUUAAUCAAGCAAAACGACUUUCAGUUUGACUCCCCGAAACUAAGUGAGCUACUUCAAGGCAGCUUUUUGAGCAAACCCGUCUCUGUUGCAAAAGAGUGGGAAGAUCUUCAAGUAGAGGUGACAGACCUAACGAACUUAGUGAUAGCUGGUUACUCAAGAAGAGAAUAUUAGUUCAGCCUAAAGUUAUGCCAUUUUCAAAAAAAAUUAAAUUUAACUUUAGAGUUAUUCAAAUAAGGUACAGCCUGUUUGAAUUAGGAUACAACCUCACCUGUUGGGUAAAUUUUAUUAAUCAACUUUAUAAUCAAGUGGGCCUAAGAGCAGCCACCUUUCAAAUAGCGUCAAAGCUUAACUGUAAAGAUUUUUAAUUCCUAUUUAUAUUCUAAGCCCCCUAAUUUUAUUGAGUAAUUCUAUACCCAUAUAGAAAAUUUUAUGUUAAAACUAGUAACAAGAAGAAGACCUUCUCUUAAAUGCAAGUUUAAAUCAGAAAGGACACCCCACUGAUAAUUAACAUUCUUGACCCUAAAAUAUUAACUUCAUCAAGAAAACUCUAUUAUAAUUUUAUGUUAAUCUUACACAAGAACAUUUCAAGAAAAAUUAAAAGAAAAAGAAGGAACUCGGCAAAUAUUUAACCUCGCCUGUUUACCAAAAACAUCGCCUCUUGAGAAAUAUAAGAGGUCCAGCCUGCCCAGUGACUUUGUUCAACGGCCGCGGUAUCCUAACCGUGCGAAGGUAGCGUAAUCACUUGUUCUUUAAAUGAGGACUAGUAUGAAAGGCAUCACGAGGGUUCUACUGUCUCCUUUUUCUAAUUAGUGAAACUAAUCUCCCCGUGAAGAAGCGGGGAUCCAAAUAUAAGACGAGAAGACCCUAUGGAGCUUUAAAUUAUAUAACAAUUGCUACCUCCCUUUUAUUAACCAUUUAACGUCUAGCAAUUUGAUUAUAUAUUUUUGGUUGGGGUGACCGCGGAGUACAACAAAACCUCCACAUUGAAAGGACCAUACUCCUAAGCUAAAAACAACAACUUUACGCAUCAGUAUACUGACAUUAAUUGACCCAAUAUAUUUGAUCAACGAACCAAGUUACCCUAGGGAUAACAGCGCAAUCUACUUUAAGAGCCCAUAUCGACAAGUAGGUUUACGACCUCGAUGUUGGAUCAGGGUGUCCUAGUGGUGCAGCCGCUACUAAUGGUUCGUUUGUUCAACGAUUAAAACCCU